rnacentral:rRNA from 1 species
GUGGGGAAUCUUGCGCAAUGGGCGAAAGCCUGACGCAGCCAUGCCGCGUGGAUGAUGAAGGUCUUAGGAUUGUAAAAUCCUUUCACCGGUGAAGAUAAUGACUGUAGCCGGAGAAGAAGCCCCGACUAACUUCGUGCCAGCAGCCGCGGUAAUACGAAGGGGGCUAGCGUUGCUCGGAUUUACUGGGCGUAAAGGGCGCGUAGGCGGACAUUUAAGUCAGGGGUGAAAUCCCGGGGCUCAACCUCGGAACUGCCUUUGAUACUGGGUGUCUUGAGUAUGAGAGAGGUGUGUGGAACUCCGAGUGUAGAGGUGAAAUUCGUAGAUAUUGGGAAGAACACCGGUGGCGAAGGCGACCACCUGGCUCGGUUCUGACGCUGAGGCGCGACAGCGUGGGGAGCAAACAGGAUUAGAAACCCUGGUAGUCC